rnacentral:snRNA from 1 species
UGAUUUUCCCAGCACCAGGGGAGAUACCAUGAUCACGAGGGUGGUUUUCCCAGCACCAGGCUUAUCCACUGCACUCCGGAUGUGCUGACUCCUGCGAUUUCCCCAAAUGUGGGAACUCGACUGCAUAAUUUGUGGUAGUGGGGGACUGCAUUCGUGCUGUCCCCUG